GAUGAACGCUGGCGGCGUGCCUAAUACAUGCAAGUCGAGCGAACAGACGAGGAGCUUGCUCCUCUGACGUUAGCGGCGGACGGGUGUGUAACACGUGGAUAACCUACCUAUAAGACUGGGAUAACUUCGGGAAACCGGAGCUAAUACCGGAUAAUAUAUUGAACCGCAUGGUUCAAUAGUGAAAGGCGGUUUUGCUGUCACUUAUAGAUGGAUCCGCGCCGCAUUAGCUAGUUGGUAAGGUAACGGCUUACCAAGGCAACGAUGCGUAGCCGACCUGAGAGGGUGAUCGGCCACACUGGAACUGAGACACGGUCCAGACUCCUACGGGAGGCAGCAGUAGGGAAUCUUCCGCAAUGGGCGAAAGCCUGACGGAGCAACGCCGCGUGAGUGAUGAAGGUCUUCGGAUCGUAAAACUCUGUUAUUAGGGAAGAACAAAUGUGUAAGUAACUAUGCACGUCUUGACGGUACCUAAUCAGAAAGCCACGGCUAACUACGUG
rnacentral:rRNA from 1 species